GGACCCGCACAAGCAGUGGAGCAUGUGGUUUAAUUCGAUGCAACGCGAAGAACCUUACCCAGACUUGACAUGUAGUGGACCGCCAUAGAGAUAUGGCUUCUCGUAAGAGCCGCUACACAGGUGCUGCAUGGCUGUCGUCAGCUCGUGCCGUGAGGUGUUGGGUUAAGUCCCGCAACGAGCGCAACCCUUAUCGUUAGUUGCCAACACGUAAUGGUGGGAACUCUAACGAGACUGCCUGGGUUAACCAGGAGGAAGGUGAGGAUGACGUCAAGUCAGCAUGGCCCUUAUGUCUGGGGCUACACACGUGCUACAAUGGUCGGUACAAAAGGCAGCUAAGCCGCAAGGUGGAGCAAAUCCCUAAAGCCGAUCCCAGUUCGGAUUGUUGUCUGCAACUCGACAACAUGAAGUCGGAAUUGCUAGUAA
rnacentral:rRNA from 1 species